ACAGGCCUCAGGCUUGGUGGGGGCAGGGCUGAGUCUUCCCAGUGGGACCAGAGGUCAGGGGAGGCCACAUAAGGCGGUCCAGGGAUGGGAGGCCUGGAGGAGUGGGAAGAGAAGAGGGCCUGACUGGCAGCCCUGCCACAGUGCCCACCACCUGGACUGGCAUCCCCCCCAUCACCCUCACCUCACUCCGGCAGGAUGGGUGACAGGCAGCUCCGCCAGGCUACCCGGGGUGGCAAGGAGCCUCAGGGGCCAGCACCCCGCCAAGGUCCUGCACAAGACGCCCUCCUGCAGCACCUGCAGCCGUCGCUCUGAGGGUUCCAGCCACCGGAAGGCCCCAGCUGCAUCUGUCUGCCCGGGGCAGGGCGGCCGGUCAAGGAAAACCAAAAGCAGCCAGGGGUGGGCCCACGCCACAGGCCAGGCCCCAUGCCAAGUGUGCUGGCCACCAUUCCCUCCCGUCUCCUCACUGUGGACCAGCAUGGAAUAGCGUCACCCUGGUCAGCAGCAGAGGCUCAGAAAGGAAAAGGGAUCUGCCUGAAGCUACUCAGCCAAACAGAGCCAGGGUUUCACCAUGUUGGCUAGGCUGGUCUCAAACUCCUGGCCUCAAGAAAUCGGCCCACCUCAGCCUCCCAAAGUGCUAGGAUUACAGGCGUGAGCCACUGCACCCAGCCUCUAGCACCAUUUAUUAAAAAGAAUAUUCUUUUCCUCAUUGAAUCGACUUGGCACUCUUGUCAAAAUAAAUUGACUAUACAGUAAAUCUAACAGUUUAUUUCUAGAUGGUCAAUUCUAGUCCAUUGAUCUGUAUGUCUAUCCUGAUGCCAGUACCACAAUAUCUUGAUUAUUAUAAUUUUGUACGGCUUUUUUUUUUUUUUUUUUUUGGAGAGAGUCUUGCUCUGUCGCCCAGGCUGGAGGGCAGUGGUGCAAUCUCAGCUCACUGCAACCUCUCUCCUGGGUUCCAGCAAUUCUCCUGCCUCAGCCUCCUGAGCAGCUGGGAUUACAGGCGUGUGCCACCACACCUGGCUAAUUUUUGUAUUUUUAGUAGAGAUGGGGUUUCACCAUGUUGGCCACGCUGGUCCUGAACUCCUGACCUCAAGUGAUCUGUCUGCCUCGGCCUCUCAAAGUGCUGGGAUUACAGGUGUGAGCCACCGCACCUGGCCACUUUUGUAGUUUUAAGUUUUGAAAUUGAAAAGUGUAAGUCUUCCAGGUUUGCUUUUCUUUUUCAAGAUUAUCUGAGGUAUUCUGGGUUCUUUACAUUUCCAUAUUAUUUUUAGGACCAGCUUGCUAAUUUCUGCAACAACAACAAAGACAGCUGAGAUUUUGAUAAGAAUUGUGUGGGAUCUAUAAAUCAACUGAGUAGCAUUACCAUUUUAACAAUAUUAAGUAUUCCAAUCCGUGAACAUGAGAUCUUUCCAUUCACUUAGGCUUUUAAUUUUCUUUUUUUUUGAGAGGAAGUCUCGCUCUCUCGCCCAGGCUGGAGUGCAGCAGCGCUAUCUUGGCUCACUGCAGCCUCUGCCUCUCGGAUUCAAGCAAUUCUCCUGUCUCAGUCUCCCAAGUAGCUGGGACUACAGGCGCCUGCCACCACGCCUGGCUAAUUUUUGUUUUUUGGGGUUUGAGACCGGAGUCUCACCCUAUCGCCCACGCUGGAGUGCAGUGGCAUGUUCUCGGCUCAUUGCAGCCUCUGCCUCACAGGUUCAAGUGAUUCUCCUGUCUCAGUCUCCCAAGUAGCUGGGACUAUAGGCGCCUGCCACCACGCCUGGCUAAUUUUUGUUUUUUGGGGUUUGAGACCGGGGUCUUGCCCUGUCGCCCAGGCUGGAGUGCAGUGGCAUGUUCUCGGCUCAUUGCAGCCUCUGCCUCACAGGUUCAAGUGAUUCUCCUGCCUCAGUCUCCUAAGUAGCUGGGAUUACAGGUGCACGCCACCACGCCCAGCUAAUUUUUGUAUUUUUAGUAGAGAUGGGGUUUUACCAUGUUGGCCAGGCUAGUCUCGAACUCCUGACCUCGUGAUCCGCCCACCUUGGCCUCCCAAAGUGUUGGGAUUACAGGCAUGAGCCAUCGCGCCUGGCCUAAUUUUUUUAUUUUUAGUACAGAUGGGGUUUCACCAUGUUGGCCAGGCUGGUCUUGAACUCCAGACCUCAAGUGAUCUGCCCGCCUGGCCUCCCAAAGUGCUGGGGUUACAGGCGUGAGCCACUGCGCCCGGUCAGGCUUUUAAUUUUUUUAAUUUUUAAUUUUUGCUCAGGGUGGUUUGGCUAUUCUGGGCCUUUUGUGGUUCCAUAUAAAUUUUAGGGUUAUUGUUUCUAUUUCUGCGAAGAAUGGCAUUGAUAUUACAGGGAGCCCACGUAGCCCUUUACAUUGUAAUUGGCACCUCCACCAGGCCAUAAGACCCCAGGUCCCAGCCCAGAGCAUGUCCCAGAGGAAGACUCAGAGAAGCUCCUGGAAUGUGUGUGCACGGCUCCUUGGUAUUGCUUGGGCCUUCACCCCUUUGUGCCACUUCCUUCCCAGGCACCCACCCACAGAACCCACACAUCCCCACGGGCCCUGGGCUCAGGCAAAGGAUACAGGCCAGGCCGGCAAGGAGGCCGCAAAGGAGCUGCAGGAAGGGUGGCUCAGAGCUGAGCAGUGGGGUCAGGGCAAGCAG
rnacentral:lncRNA from 10 species